GACGAACGCUGGCGGCGUGCUUAAUACAUGCAAGUCGAACGGAAAGGUCCUGCUUUUGCGGGGUGCUCGUGUGGCGAACGGGUGAGUAACACGUGAGUAUCACGCCCCUGUCUUUGGGAUAACUUCUGGAAACUGGGGCUAAUAUCCGGUAGGAGAUACUGCUGCAUGGUGGGGGUUGGUAAGUUUCGGCGGUUGGGGAUGGAUUCGCGGCUUAUCAGCUUGUUGGUGGGGUAGUGGCUUACCAAGGCUGUGACGGGUAGCCGGCCUGAGAGGGUGACCGGCCACAUUGGGACUGAGAUACGGCGCAGACUCCUACGGGAGGCAGCAGUGGGGAAUAUUGCACAAUGGGCGGAAGCCAGAUGCAGCAACGCCGCGUGCGGGAUGACGGCCUUCUAGUUGUAAACCGCUUUCGCCUGUGACGAAGCGUGAUUGACGGUAAUGAGUAAAGAAGCACCGGCUAACUACGUG
rnacentral:rRNA from 1 species